AUUGAACGCUGGCGGCAUGCCUUACACAUGCAAGUCGAACGGUAACAGGUCUUCGGAUGCUGACGAGUGGCGAACGGGUGAGUAAUACAUCGGAACGUGCCUAGUAGUGGGGGAUAACUACUCGAAAGAGUGGCUAAUACCGCAUGAGAUCCACGGAUGAAAGCAGGGGAUCGCCAGACCUUGUGCUACUAGAGCGGCCGAUAGCAGAUUAGGUAGUUGGUGGGAUAAAAGCUUACAAAGCCGACGAUCUGUAGCUGGUCUGAGAGGACGAUCAGCCACACUGGGACUGAGACACGGCCCAGAAUCCUACGGGAGGCAGCAGUGGGGAAUUUUGGACAAUGGGCGCAAGCCUGAUCCAGCAAUGCCGCGUGCAGGAUGAAGGCCUUCGGGUUGUAAACUGCUUUUGUACGGAACGAAAAGCCCCGGGUUAAUACCCUGGGGUCAUGACGGUACCGUAAGAAUAAGCACCGGCUAACUACGUGCCAGCAGCCGCCGUAA
rnacentral:rRNA from 1 species